rnacentral:rRNA from 1 species
UACGAAGGGGGCUAGCGUUGCUCGGAAUCACUGGGCGUAAAGGGUGCGUAGGCGGGUAUUUAAGUCAGGGGUGAAAUCCUGGAGCUCAACUCCAGAACUGCCUUUGAUACUGAGGAUCUUGAGUUCGGGAGAGGUGAGUGGAACUGCGAGUGUAGAGGUGAAAUUCGUAGAUAUUCGCAAGAACACCAGUGGCGAAGGCGGCUAAAGGGCCCGAUACUGACGCUGAGGCACGAAAGCGUGGGGAGCAAACAGG